UACGGAGGAUGCGAGCGUCAUCCGGAUUUAUUGGGUUUAAAGGGUGCGUAGGCGGGCUUUUAAGUCAGCGGUAAAAAUUCGGGGCUCAACCCCGUCCGGCCGUUGAAACUGGGGGUCUUGAGUGGGCGAGAAGAAGGCGGAAUGCGUGGUAUAGCGGUGAAAUGCAUAGAUAUCACGCAGAACCCCGAUUGCGAAGGCAGCCUUCCGGCGCCCUACUGACGCUGAGGCACGAAAGUGCGGGGAUCGAACAGG
rnacentral:rRNA from 1 species